ensembl:lncRNA
CCCUGCUCACUGAAGGGCAGGUGUCGGUCUCUACCCCUGCUCACUGAGGGGCAGGUGUGGGUCUACCCUGCUCACUGAGGGGCAGGUGUGCAUCUACCCCUGCUCACUGAGGGGCAGGUGUGCGUCUACCCCUGCUCACUGGGGGGCAGGUGUGGGUCUCUACCCCUGCUCACUGAGGGGCAGGUGUGCGUCUCUACCCCUGCUCACUGAGGGGCAGGUGUGCGUCUCCACCCCUGCUCACUGAGGGGCAGGUGUGUGUCUACCCCUGCUCACUGAGGGCAGGUAUGGGUCUCUACCCCCUGCUCACUGAGGGGCAGGUGUGGGUCUCUACCCCUGCUCACUGAGGGGCAGGUGUGCGUCUACCCCUGCUCACUGGGGGACAAGUGUGGGUCUCUACCCCUGCUCACUGAGGGGCAGGUGUGGGUCUACCCCUGCUCACUGAGGGGCAGGUGUGCGUCUCUACCCCUGCUCACUGAGGGCAGGUGUGGGUCUACACCUGCUCACUGAGGGGCAGGUGUGCAUCUACCCCUGCUCACUGAGGGCAGGUGUGCGUCUACCCCCUGCUCACUGAGGGGCAGGUGUGCGUCCCUACCCCCUGCUCACUGAGGGCAGGUGCGUCCCUACCCCCUGCUCACUGAGGGGCAGGUGUGGGUCUACCCCUGCUCACUGAGGGGCAGGUGUGCGUCUACCCCUCCUCACUGAGGGGCAGGUGUGGGUCUACCCCUGCUCACUGGGGGGCAGGUGUGCGUCUACCCGUCCUCACUGAGGGGCAGGUGUGGGUCUACCCCUGCUCACUGGGGGCAGGUGUGGGUCUACCCUGCUCACUGGGGGGCAGGUGUGCGUCCCUACCCCUGCUCACUGGGGGGCAGGUGUGCGUCUACCCCUGCUCAAUGGGGGGCAGGUGUGCGUCUACCCCUGCUCACUGAGGGGCAGGUGUGGGUCUACCCUGCUCACUGGGGGGCAGGUGUGGGUCUACCCUGCUCACUGGGGGGCAGGUGUGCGUCUACCCCUGCUCACUGGGGGCAGGUGUGGGUCUUCCAUGGUUUGCGUGUCAUCUGCAACAACAUAGGAAAACCUGCUCAGGAAAAGAGAAGCCAGGAGAACGGAGGAGAUUACUGUUCCAGGUGUUUUCAUUAUGAAGAAAACUAAAGGGAAAAUCUGAUCGACAUCGUGGACACCAGGAACCGAUUUAAAAAAAAAAAAAAAACACACAAAAAACGCUACCCACACCAGGAUCUCCAUAAUAUCACCGAUCCUAAAGCUUCUGCCGCCUUCGCGAAGUCUGGGAAAAACAAGGCGGCGGAGACCUUGCUUCGGAAGCGAAUGGCUCCGGUGGUGGGAACAAGCAGCUUUUUGAGACACUGUUACACCGCACGCACGGCGGAAUGGCGGUCGCCGCGGCGCCGGGGCGGGGCUUCCAACGCCGCGUCCCUCGGCGCGCGAACGCCCCGAGGAGGUUUGGCCUCCGGGCCCCGCCGUAGGUCGCGAUGCAUUCUGGGCCUCCGCAAUAUGGCGUCCUCCUUGAUGUGCUGAUGAGAGGAGUUUCACUGUAGCGCCAAACCAGAGGGCAAAACUCCCCCAAGCCAGUAAGCGCGCGUUCCGCGUUGUUUCCGCGGGCCCGUGCCGCCCGGCCCUCGGGACUUGUCCUCAGGCAGGACAGACCCACGGGGCCGAAGGCCAGGGCCAGGCAGGC